rnacentral:rRNA from 1 species
CCUACGGGUGGCUGCAGUGGGGAAUAUUGGGCAAUGGGCGAAAGCCUGACCCAGCGACGCCGCGUGGGCGAUGAAGGCCUUCGGGUUGUAAAGCCCUGUCAUGCGGAAAGAACGACCCUGUGACGCAUACUCACAGGGAGUGACGGUACCGCAGGAGGAAGCACCGGCUAACUCCGUGCCAGCAGCCGCGGUACUACGGAGGGUGCAAGCGUGGUUCAGAAUUAUUGGGGGGGUAAGGCAAGUCAGAGGUGAAAUACUCCGGCUCAACUGGGGAACUGCAUCUGAAACUGCAUAACUAGAGUACAGAAGAGGGAAACGGAAUUCCCGGUGUAGAGGUGAAAUUCGUAGAUAUCGGGAGGAACACCAGUGGCGAAGGCGGUUUCCUGGUCUGAUACUGACGCUGAGGCGCGAAAGUGUGGGGAGCAAACAGGAUUAGAUACCCGAGUAGUC